GUUUCCAGUAUUAGAUUGCAAAGAUGGCCUUUGCUGCAUUUCCUUGAACAAGGAAAGCCAAGAAACCUUUGGUUUUGCAGGAGAAAAUCUGGACAGCAGGAAGGAAGCAAAGAAGCCACGUGACUCCUCCCUGAGCCCCAGACAGCCCAUGAACUGCCUUCCUGGGAAUGGUGGGACAAGUGGACUCUGGAUUGCUCCCUCUGGAUGUGUGGCUCUCCCCUGCAGGAACUCCAGGAACUCCUGGUGCCGCCUGGGCCGAUGGAUUGGACGCCCCAGCCCCUCCGUUCCUGCCCAGCCCCUGGGGGCCGUGUCGAGUGGUGGGACUGCCAGCCCUGCAGUGGGAUGUAACCUGGAAACUCCCCAGAGCUGAGCCAAGGGAUUGAAAGGGAGCAACCAAGGGAGGUGAAGGAAGAAGGGAACUGAGGCAUCAGCCAAGCAGCACCAAGUUGCUGUAUAAGCAGGUGAGUUGUGUUGAGGUUCCUAAGGCAGGCACUGAGGAUUUUGAGGGCUCCAGACAGAGAAGACCUGGGAAGCCCCUCUGUGAAGCCCCUCAGAAACAUUAUAAAGGUUGGUGUGUAUGGUAAUGAGUGUUGGAAAAUGUCCUGAAUGUGGAACAGGAAUGCAAGGAAGGAAAAUGAACUCUCCUGUUAUGCUGACCCCUCCCAUCAGCUGCAGUGGAGAUACCUGUGUGUGCCCUUUGGGAGCAGAUUGCCAGGACACCCGGUGGGCUGGGAUCAUGGCAGGGUGUUGUAAGCAAGGAAUUCCUGGCUUCUAAAACUCACCAGCUGAGUCUUAGAGGCUUCUUUAAAGAGCUGAUUUCAGGCAGCAGAAUUGGCCCCCAGGAGGGACUCUGUGCCUGCUCUCCCAUGGCUCCAAGGGAUCUCUGGCCCUUCACGCCGGCACCGAGAUUUUCUCGGGAAGGGCCUCAGAUCCCCGGACCAGUCUGGGACACAGGCAAGAUCCCCCUGCAGUUUAGGACCAAAUUGGGCCCCCUGGAGGGACAGUGCUGUUGGUGCCCCCCGGGUUGGGGCACCCCGAGGACUCCAGCGUGCACCGAAAGGAUUAUUCGGGGAGAUCCUCGGGGUGCCCGGCCCUGGGGAGCUCAAAGCAAGGUCCCUGCAAUGGAUUCAGGCAUUCCUCAGAGUAUCCCAGGGGUCCCUGUCCCUGCUAGACAUGGAGCUCUCUAAUGGGCUUGUGGGAUUGGGAUUGGGAUUAAGAAAUGAGCAGUGAGAGUCCAAUUGGCUGUUUUCUCUUGACUGUAAUGGUGAGAGCUGCAGGAGUGCAAGGUGUGUGUUCCAGUCCCCAGCAUUUGGUUUGCACAUGUCCUGGUCAGACACAGGUCCAACUUCCUCAGUCCUUAACACAACAGAAGGAGUGUGGCUCCUUGUUUUCCUGUGUCUUUGGUGAGGUGUUGACUCAGUACCUUUCUUGGAGCUGCUGUUGGAUGAAGAGAUGCCCUCAAUUCACCUGUAAGGUCCUGGUUUUCUUCCCUGCUUCUCCCAGCUUGUCCAGUGGAUGGAAUUCCAGUGCUAUAGAACAGAUGGCUCGUGGUGCUCUCAAAAGGAGCCGUUGUCCCUCCAGGGGACACUGAGCUGCUCCAGCUGCGGCAAGAAGAGCCCUGAUGCCUGAGUGCUCUCCAGGCCCCCAGGCUGGAUCCCAACUGUCAGCCCCUGGCUCCAUCCCUUGAGAAGAUGGUGUUCCUGCAAGCCCAGCUGCUGUGCUGGUGGUCCUGGGCGCACCUCCUGCCCUGGCCUGCUGUGACUGUGUUUGUGUUGCAGCUCAAUAAAGUCCCUUUCAGUGCUGAUUGUGUCA